AAAUUGAAGAGUUUGAUCAUGGCUCAGAUUGAACGCUGGCGGCAGGCCUAACACAUGCAAGUCGAACGGUAACAGGAAGCAGCUUGCUGCUUCGCUGACGAGUGGCGGACGGGUGAGUAAUGUCUGGGAAACUGCCUGAUGGAGGGGGAUAACUACUGGAAACGGUGGCUAAUACCGCAUAACGUCGCAAGACCAAAGAGGGGGACCUUCGGGCCUCUUGCCAUCAGAUGUGCCCAGAUGGGAUUAGCUG
rnacentral:rRNA from 1 species